rnacentral:tRNA from 1 species
AGCUUCGUGGCGCAGUGGAAGCGCGCCGGGCUCAUAACCUGGAGGUCCUCCGAUCAAAACGGAGUGAAGCUA